rnacentral:tRNA from 1 species
GGUUCCAUAGUGUAGCGGUUAGCACAUCUGCUUUACACACAGAAGGUCCUGGGUUUGUGCCCCAGUGGAGCCA